rnacentral:rRNA from 1 species
CGGCGGACGGCUGAGUAACGCGUGAGAACAUACCCCAAACGGAGGGAGUAACUAGUCGAAAGAUUAGCUAAUACCGCAUGUGAUCUUUGGAUUAAAGCAUUUAUGCGCUUUGGGAAUGGCUUGCGUACGAUUAGAUAGUUGGUGAGGUAAAGGCUCACCAAGUCGACGAUCGUUAGAUGGUUUGAGAGGAUGAUCAUCCAGACUGGGACUGAGACACGGCCCAG